rnacentral:rRNA from 1 species
GCGGUAAUACGGAGGGUGCGAGCGUUAAUCGGAAUUACUGGGCGUAAAGACGCAUGCAGGUGGUUUGUUUAAGUUACAGAUGUGAAAGACCCGGGGCGUCAACCUACCGGAAUUGCAUUUGUAAACUAGGCAGACUAGAGUACUGUAGAGGGGGGUAGGAAUUUCAGGUGUAGCGGUGAAAUAGCGUAGAGAUCUGAAGGAAUACCGGUGGCGAAGGCGGCCCCCUCGGACAGAUACUGACACUCAGAUGCGAAAGCGUGGGGAGCAAACAGGAUUAGAUACCCUGGUAG